rnacentral:lncRNA from 1 species
GUUUCUUGUUUACGAUUCAUGACAGGUUUAUGUUACUUCUAUUUGAAUUUCUAUAUUUCACAUGUGGUUUUUAUGCUUAAUAUUAGGGGAGUAGAGCCAGUUAACAUUUAGGGAGUUAUCUGUUUUCAUCUUGAGGUGGCCAAUAUGGGGAUGUAGAAUUUUUAUACGACUUAUAAAGGUUUGGCAUAGUACUUUAUGUACAUUGUGGCUUCACAAGGGCCAAUGUUAAAACUGCUUCCAUGUCUAAGCAAAGAAAACUGCCUACAUAUUGGUUUGUCCUGGUGGGGAAUAAAAGGGAUCAUCAGUUCCAGUCACAGGUGUAGUAAUUGUGGGUACUUUAAGAAGGUUGUAGUAGAAACAGAUAUCCCUUGGAUCCUACAUGUGUGAAUCUUGGGUUUCUGUGGAAUAGACAAUCUCAGUGUGCACAGCUUUGACUACAGCUGCAGAAGUGCUCCUUUAGACAAAGUUGUGACCCAAUUUACUCUGGAUAAGGACAGAAAUGGUUCACAUUCCAUUAUUUGUAAAGUUACCUGCUGCUUGCUUUCAUUAUUUUUGCUUCACAUUUUAUUUGUAUUUAAAUAUUUUAGGCAACCUAAGAAAAAAUGUAAAAGUAAAGAUGCAGUAAAAAUAAAUUGCUUGAUAUCCAUUACUUUAUGUAUAUCAGGCACAGUGGUAAACAAAACAAA